UCUUGUGAUGACAAGCCGUUGUUUAAGAAUCUCUUGAGAGAGAUUGCCACGCUUGAGAAGAAUCAAAAUAGAUCGGUUUGGGUCCUCAAAUCAGAAUAUAAAGACUAAUGAAAACAGAGGUUUUUUUUUAUGUCUCUACUGUUCCAGUCUGAAGAUGGAGAAGGCGACAUUAGUAUCCCCUUAUUCUUUAUAACCAAGCUGACGCUUUUCUUAAAUUCUCCCUUUUUUUGUUUACCACCAAAGUCACUUACACUUCCAAUUCAAAGUGUACUUUUUUUUUGUAACAUAUGAUGCUUCCCCGAAAUAUAUAAAGGAGGAAAAAUCUUUAGUAGAUUUAACGAAACGGCCAAUGUAGAUGAUUGAUUACUCUGUAGUACCAAAGUUCAUAUCCAAGUCGUCUGCAUCAUGUACAGAGACGUAUCUGUUAAAACUUAAAAGUAGAGCGGUUUUCAUUAGCCGGUCCUUUCAUUAGCCACAGUCUCAAAUCUUUAUUCUAACCGAGCAAAUUAUUGUGAACCAAUCGAGUUUGGUUUUAUUUGGUUAUCAAUCUAGAAACGGACUUCAGAUUCUAUGCGUUGACUCAUCAUCAAAUAUUUGAUGUCUGUCUGACUACAAUACCCUUAUUAGUUUCAAGAUAUACAAGAAACCCUAUCUCUCUCUCUCUCUGUGAUCAGAUAACAACCACCACCACUCACGAGCACAAUAUCGCCGGGGGCAUCUCCUCCAACACCGUCGUUCGUGGCUAUCUACGCUGCUACCUUUGCUUCGCAGCGGCAGAGGAAGUGGGAACCAAAAAAAAAACCAAAAAAAAAUGGACAAUUGGGAAGAUAUGAAGAUAGUGGCAGAGCAGUGGUCUAAACAAGGAAUUGAAUUUGUU